rnacentral:rRNA from 1 species
CGGAUUGCAGGCUGCAACCCGCCUGCAUGAGGUUGGAAUCGCUAGUAAUCGCGGAUCAGCAUGUCGCGGUGAAUACGUUCCCGGGUCUUGUACACACCGCCCGUCACACCAUGGGAGUCGGGAAUGCCCGAAGUCAGUGACCCAACCAUAUGGAGGGAGCUGCCGAAGGCAGGUCUGAUAACUGGGGUGAAGUCGUAACAAGGUAAC